rnacentral:pre_miRNA from 1 species
GCGAAUUGUUGUAACUUUUGUGCAUCUGCUUGGAAAAUUUUAAGUGAGCAAAUGCCAAUUGUUGCAAAAAUUCG